rnacentral:rRNA from 1 species
CGGUAAUACGGAGGGUCCAAGCGUUAUCCGGAAUCAUUGGGUUUAAAGGGUCCGUAGGCGGGGUAAUAAGUCAGUGGUGAAAGUCUGCAGCUUAACUGUAGAAUUGCCAUUGAUACUGUUGUCCUUGAAUUAUUAUGAAGUGGUUGGAAUGAGUAGUGUAGCGGUGAAAUGCAUAGAUAUUACUCAGAACACCUAUUGCGAAGGCAGAUCACUAAUAAUAUAUUGACGCUGAGGGACGAAAGCGUAGGUAGCGAACAGGAUUAGAUACCCUGGUAGUCUACGCCGUAAACGAUGGUUACUAGCUGUCCGGCCAAAUUGAUGGCUGGGUGGUUAAGCGAAAGUGAUAAGUAACCCACCUGGGGAGUACGUUCGCAAGAAUGAAACUCAAAGGAAUUGACGGGGGCCCGCACAAGCGGUGGAGCAUGUGGUUUAAUUCGAUGAUACGCGAGGAACCUUACCAGGGCUUAAAUGCAGUCUGACAGGUCUGGAAACAGACUUUUCUUCGGACAGAUUGCAAGGUGCUGCAUGGUUGUCGUCAGCUCGUGCCGUGAGGUGUCAGGUUAAGUCCUAUAACGAGCGCAACCCCUGUGGUUAGUUGCCAGCGAGUCAUGUCGGGAACUCUAGCCAGACUGCCGGUGCAAACCGCGAGGAAGGUGGGGAUGACGUCAAAUCAUCUCCGGCCCUUACGUCCUGGGCCACGCCCGUGCUUCCAUGGUAGGGACCGAAGGCAACUUCCCCCCGAGGGGAUGCGAAUCUUCAAACCCUAUCACAGUUCGGAUCGCAGUCUGCAACUCGACUGCGGGAAAGCUGGAAUCGCUAGUAAUCGCAUAUCAGCCAUGAUGCGGUGAAUACGUUCCCGGG